ACAGAAGGGAAAUCUCACUUCUGCUUGGGCAGGAGUGCCUAGGAUUAGAAACAUAAGAUGUUAUAAGGUUAAGUCACAUGCUUACUGUUUACCCAAAGCAUGUUAUCAAUGUCAUGCAGCACAGGGUCCAUCGUCAGAGGAGUUCAUACUCUCCAAGUACAGCUGUCUUAUGGAAAGACUUCUCAGAGCACAGACCAGCUGACUCAACGUCUCCUGCCAGCCGUCAGCACACACGCGGUGUUCUCUUGCAGAUCUGUGAACAGUCAGGAAUGAGGAGGAGUUCCCAUUUUUAGAGAGGGUCACUGAAGGGGGAAAAUGCGAGAAAGCCUAAUUAAAAACACGUCUUCUCCAGAGUCCGCCUGGGGCAGCAACUGUGGCCUUGAAAUCACAUCAACUGUCUGCACUGGACCUGUCAAUAUUCGGUCACGAGUGAGGAAGGGGAUCACCGGGGUUCGCUCGUCCCUGACAAAAGAGACUGAUGGCUGGAAGGUUCUGGAAGGGUGGAAGUCAUUGUCUACAGUUGUGUUCCCAAUGGUGACCUCGCCAAACUCUGAUGGAGAGUGCCAAAGAGAUGCCACCGGUUCAACUCAAUGACGUCACAAAAUAAAGCAAAGAGACAAUCACGCGAAAGGAGGACUUGUGUGGGGGGAGGGGGAUUGACAGGGACAGAAGAUGAGAGUAGUUAGAUUGCAUUUUAUACGUGAAAGAAAACGUCAGAGGCAAGUUAAUUAAUAAAACAGGGAAAAGAAGGUUUAAUGU
rnacentral:lncRNA from 1 species